UUGUAUUUUGAGCUAUAUUUCUUUCAGACAUGUUUUUUGUGUUAAUAAAAUGUGAAAUGGUUUACCAUUAUUGUUAAAUAAUUGUUUCAGUGAUGUUUCUUUUCUUAAAUUUAUUUUGUCCUUGCUUAAUGCCCAAAUAUUAAAUUUUUUAUUGGGAAUACAGGCAAGUCGGUAUGGGUAACAAAUUUCUGCAGUCUUACAUGAGAAAGCUUCUGAGGGUAUACACUGACCACCUUUGAGGCCUGCUGGAUUCGUUAGAAAGGGCACUACAGGAAAGUCAGAUGUUUAGACUUCCUGGGUUCUGCUUUAAGAGUUGUCCAGAUGCAGAAAAUUUUGAGAAAACAAGGUUCAAAGAAGGUCAGCUAAUAAAUUCAAACAAUAGACAAAAAUAAAAUCAACUUACUAAGAACUAAAGUCAAUCAGAUUCUAAACUUAGCCAAAAUUAAACUACUCGACUUAGUAUAUAUAUAUUAGAUCACUCAGAUUUAGAGUCAUUUUGGCUGGAGGAGCCCACCAGCACCCCUAUAAGGGAUCUUUUGGCCUUCUUGUCCAUAAAAAUAUUUCAGUCCGCUAACGUUUUAUAAUUUUUAGUAAAAUUUCUUAGGUCAAAACUUGCAUGUAAGAAAGCUACCCAGUCGCCAAAGAUAAUGUGAUCCUUCAGUUAAAGGAUGACGCCAUCAAAACAGGGAUUGCGCCACAUCACCCGGUGCCACGUUAUGAUGGCUUACAGCAAUUAGUUCAUGCUCCAGUGAUCUACACUGCGAAGCCAAGUAACUGGCUUCCGAUCAUCCACGUAGAUGAGAGUACCAUUAUUAUUAAUGACUGUUCAGCGCACGUUUUAGUUGACAACGGCUCAGAAGUCCUGAUUUACUGAACGUACCUCAAAACAUUCAGCGACCGAUAGUGCUAUCCAUUAAGGUAGAAUUCUGCGCCUUGACUUGCAUCUCGCUCACAUGUCAGCGGGUCAUCUUGGCAAGAAAAUCAAGCUCAAGGAGGCCGAGGGCGGCCUUCAUUUUUAAGAUUGCGUAGUUAACAAUAGUUAACAAAAAUAAUAAAACAAAUAAUAAUUGAUAACAAUAAUUAACAAAAAUAAUAAAAUAAAUAAUAAGUGAUACUAUAACACCUAUAAUAAGCCUUAUAAAAUAGGCACCAUCCUAAAGUACUUAUUUUCAGGUCCACCCUUAUGAUACGUACGCACUCCUGGACGAGCUACGGAGAGACCUUGGGGCUGAAGGUUUCCCAGCAAGGCACGGCCCACCGAACUCAGAUUCGGACCUCCCCAGGAAGAUUUAGACGACGACGGCGCCCACAACAAACGAGGGCCAGGAGCUUAGCACUGUGUUGCACCACAUGGAGGAACAGGCCGUGGAACGAAACGCUUUCCACCGACGACAUCGACCGGAUACAUCGACGCAGGAAGAAUAAGUUAGAUUUCUAAACCCAUUCUAAAGAGGUCCAGGCCACCGUAGUACCACGAAGGAUUCUGGAAGUAGUGUGGGAACAGCAGAUCCACGGGCGCAAGCCUAUCUCGAGUUUGAGUUGAGUAGAUUUGACAAUCUUAGAGAUGUAUCCAGUAUCGCGGAGCACCACGUUGUCAUGCGAGACGAUAAAUCUAUAAAACAGCGGUACUACGGCGGUCGACUCCAACGCCUGUUAUUCUGCUGGGUGUGCGGGAGAGUAGGUGUCAGGAGCGUCGAGUGCUGCCAGAAGGCGGGAAAUGCGCAAUCAUAGCCGCAGAGCGAUAAUAUACCGGACUUCUUUUUUUUUGAGUUGUACUAAAGACUACGGAACAUUUUCAUUAAAAUUUGCCUAGCACUCAUUGUUGAGUUAUUCAAAGAGUUUAUGUCACCCGAUUUUAUAAUUCCAGAAAGUGUGGACUAAUGUGUAACAAAUCAAUAUAUUAUUGAAAUAGUUACCUGAGGAAGAAUGGGGAAGAGAGAGUUAAAGUAGGGGGGAAAUGAAAUACGUAGCCGGUCAUUUCUUGCGCUUAAUAUAUUUACCCUCUAGUUUGGUGGGAAUGGACCAACUAGCGAAAACGCCUUACACCAAAUUCAUAAAGUGAAAUAUAAAUUCA